rnacentral:rRNA from 1 species
AGAAUCAACGCUGGCGGCGUGCCUAACACAUGCAAGUCGAACGAGAAAGUGGAGCAAUCCAUUAGUAAAGUGGCGCACGGGUGAGUAACACGUGACUAACCUACCCUUGAGUGGGGGAUAACCUAGGGAAACCUGGGCUAAUACCGCAUAAUACCUUCGGGUCAAAGGAGCAAUUCGCUUAAGGAGGGGGUCGCGGCCGAUUAGUUAGUUGGCGGGGUAAUGGCCCACCAAGACUAUGAUCGGUAUCCGGCCUGAGAGGGCGCACGGACACACUGGAACUGAAACACGGUCCAGACUCCUACGGGAGGCAGCAGUGGGGAAUUUUGCGCAAUGGGGGAAACCCUGACGCAGCAACGCCGCGUGGAGGAUGAAGCCCUUGGGGCGUAAACUCCUUUCGAUCGGGACGAUAAUGACGGUACCGAGAGAAGAAGCCCCGGCUAACUUCGUGCCAGCAGCCGC